AGCGAACGCUGGCGGCAGGCCUAACACAUGCAAGUCGAACGAAGCCUUCGGGCUUAGUGGCGGACGGGUGAGUAACACGUGGGAACGUAGCUUUUGGUUCGGAACAACUCAGGGAAACUUGAGCUAAUACCGGAUGAGCCCUUAGGGGGAGAGAUUUAUCGCCGAAAGAGCGGCCCGCGUUAGAUUAGCUAGUUGGUGAGGUAAAGGCUCACCAAGGCUACGAUCUAUAGCUGGUCUGAGAGGAUGAUCAGCCACACUGGGACUGAGACACGGCCCAGACUCCUACGGGAGGCAGCAGUGGGGAAUCUUGCGCAAUGGGCGAAAGCCUGACGCAGCCAUGCCGCGUGAAUGAUGAAGGUCUUAGGAUUGUAAAAUUCUUUUACCAGGGACGAUAAUGACGGUACCUGGAGAAAAAGCCCCGGCUAACUUCGUGCCAGCAGCCGCGGUAACAC
rnacentral:rRNA from 1 species